GCAAGUCGAACGUUAAAGCAUCUUCGGAUGUUAUUAAAGUGGCGCACGGGUGAGUAACGCGUAGGAAUCUGUCUUGUAGCGGGGGACAACUCGAGGAAACUCGAGCUAAUACCGCAUAAUAGCUGAGGCUGAAAGUAUGGGAUCUUCGGACCAUAUGCUACAAGGUGAGCCUGCGUUAGAUUAGCUUGUUGGUGGGGUAAAGGCCUACCAAGGCGAUGAUCUAUAGCUGGUCUGAGAGGAUGACC
rnacentral:rRNA from 1 species